rnacentral:misc_RNA from 1 species
GUGAAUCAUCGAAUUUUUGAACGCAAAUUGCACUCUCCUCGGAGAGUAUGCCUGUUUGAGGGUCAGCCUAUAAAAAAUCGACAUCAUUGCUGUUUCGCGGUGACGUUCGUCGGAAAUUGGGUCAUCUUAAAUCCUUUUGGUUUUAAGCGACUUAAAAUUUUCUUUUUGGUUCCAUGAACGUUUCUAAGAUUUAUUUCUUUACACGUUUAAGGGUAUCGAUUUUAUUUAACGUUGCCAAUAAUAUCGAUCCCCGCCAUUA